UGAAGAAAAGGAAGUCCCUGAGGACUCACUGGAGGAGUGUGCCAUCACUUGUUCAAAUAGCCACCACCCUUGUGAGUCCAACCAGCCUUACGGGAACACCAGAAUCACAUUUGAGGAAGACCAAGUCGACUCAACUCUCAUUGACUCAUCCUCCCAUGAUGAAUGGUUGGAUGCUGUAUGCAUUAUCCCAGAAAAUGAAAGUGAUCAUGAGCAAGAGGAAGAAAAAGGGCCAGUGUCUCCCAGGAAUCUGCAGGAGUCUGAAGAGGAGGAAGCCCCCCAGGAGUCCUGGGAUGAAGGUGAUUGGACUCUCUCAAUUCCUGCUGACAUGACAUUGGUGUGAUCAAGUGAAAAAGGAGGACCAAGAGGCCACAAGUCCCAGGCUCAGCAGGGAGCUGCUGGAUGAGAAAGAGCCUGAAGUCUUGCAGGACUCACUGGAUAGAUUUUAUUCAACUCCUUUUGCGUACCUGGAACUGCCUGACUUAUGCCAGCCCUACAGAAGUGACUUUUACUCAUUGCAGGAACAACACCUUGGCUUGGCUCUUGACGUGGA
rnacentral:sRNA from 1 species